UGCGUAGGCGGAAUAUUAAGUCAGUGGUGAAAUCUCUCGGCUCAACCGAGAAACUGCCAUUGAUACUGUUAUUCUUGAGUAUAGUUGUAGUGGGCGGAAUAUAGCAUGUAGCGGUGAAAUGCUUAGAUAUGCUAUAGAACACCGAUCGCGAAGGCAGCUCACUAAACUAUAACUGACGCUCAGGCACGAAAGCGUGGGGAGCAAACAGGAUUAGAUACCCUGGUAGUCC
rnacentral:rRNA from 1 species